rnacentral:rRNA from 1 species
CCUACGGGAGACAGCAGUGAGGAAUAUUGGUCAAUGGACGAGAGUCUGAACCAGCCAAGUAGCGUGAAGGAUGACUGCCCUAUGGGUUGUAAACUUCUUUUAUAGGGGAAUAAAAUGUUCCACGUGUGGGAUGUUGUAUGUACCAUAUGAAUAAGGAUCGGCUAACUCCGUGCCAGCAGCCGCGGUAAUACGGAGGAUCCGAGCGUUAUCCGGAUUGAUUGGGGUUAAAGGGAGCGUAGGGGGAUUGUUAAGUCAGUUGUGAAAGUUUGCGGCUCAACCGGAAAAUUGCAGUUGAAACUGGCAGUCUUGUGUCCAGUAGCGUUCGGCGGCAUUCGUGGUGUAGCGGU